rnacentral:rRNA from 1 species
CGCCUUUUGAUUAUAAUAAGAGGUCCAGCCUGCCCAGUGAUAAAUUUAACGGCCGCGGUACCCUAACCGUGCAAAGGUAGCAUAAUCACUUGUUCUUUAAAUAAGGACUUGUAUCAACGGCAUCACGAGGGUUCUACUGUCUCCUCUCUCUAAUCGGUGAAACUGAUCUCCCUAUGAAAAAGUGGGGAUAAACUUAUAAGACGAGAAGACCCCAUGGAGCUUUAAAACCUAUAGCAACCUAGCAAACACUUCCAUUUAGCUAUAAAACUAUGCUCAAGGACUUUAGGUUGGGAGGACCACGGAGCACAAAAUAACCUCCGCAAUGAAAAGAAUAAAAUCUUUACCAAAGAGCCACAACUCCAAGAAUUAGAAAACUAACGUACAAUGACCCGAUAUCGAUCAAUGAACUAAGUUACCCUGGGGAUAACAGCGCAAUCCAUUCUGAGAGUUCAUAUCGACGAACGGGCUUACGACCUCGAUGUUGGAUCAGGGUAUCCUGGUGGUGCAGCCGCUACCGAAGGUUCGUUUGUUCAACGAUUAAAACCCUACGUGA